rnacentral:rRNA from 1 species
AUACAUAGGGGGCGAGCGUUAUCCGGAAUUAUUGGGCGUAAAGCGUACGUAGGCGGACUGUUAAGUCUGGUGUGAAAUCCCGCGGCUUAACCGCGGAGGGUCACUGGAAACUGGCAGGCUUGAGUACGGCAGGGGUAAGUGGAAUUCCAAGUGGAGCGGUGAAAUGCGUAGAUAUUUGGAGGAACACCAGUGGCGAAGGCGGCUUACUGGGCCGGAACUGACGCUGAGGUACGAAAGCGUGGGGAGCAAACAGGAUUAGAUACCCUGGUAGUCCACGCCGUAAACGAUGAGCACUAAGUGUCGGAUACAUAUUCGGCGCUGCAGUUAACACAUUAAGUGCUCCGCCUGGGGAGUACGGUCGCAAGACUGAA